rnacentral:rRNA from 1 species
UACGUAGGAGGCGAGCGUUAUCCGGAAUGACUGGGCGUAAAGGGUGCGUAGGUGGUUUGACAAGUUGGUAGCGUAAUUCCGAGGCUCAACCUCGGCGCUACUACCAAAACUGUCGGACUUGAGUGCAGGAGGGGCAAUCGGAAUUCCUAGUGUAGCGGUGGAAUGCGCAGAUAUUAGGAGGAACACCGGUGGCGAAGGCGGAUUGCUGGACUGUAACUGACACUGAGGCACGAAAGCGUGGGGAGCAAACAGG